rnacentral:rRNA from 1 species
AUUGAACGCUGGCGGCAGGCCUAACACAUGCAAGUCGAACGGGCUGGCGGACGGGUGAGCAAUGGCUAGGAAUCUGCAUGGUAGUGGGGGAUAACGUGCGGAAAAGGGCGAUAAUACCGCAAACUCACAGAUGCGCCUAGGGGGGAUUAGCUAGUUGGGGGGGGAAAGGCCUACCAAGGCGACGAUCCGUAACUGGUCUGAGAGGAUGAUCACUCAAACUGGAACUGAGACACGGUCCAGACUCCUACGGGAGGCAGCAGUGGGGAAUAUUGUGCAAUGGGCGAAAGCCUGAUCCAGCCAUGCCGCGUGUGUGAAGAAGGUCUUCGGAUUGUAAAGCACUUUCAGUUGGGAGGCGUUACCAACAGAAUAAGCACCGGCUAACUUCGUGCCAGCAGCCGCGGUAAUAC